UUGAAUUUAGUUAAACAUUCACGUUUUUUAAAACCAGGUUUGUUUUUGUUAAAAUUGUUUUUAACUGAAGUAGUUAAAAGAAAUAUUUUAAAAAAACAAAAACAAAAAUUAAAUUGACUGUGUCAGCCAGGUCAACAUGAGAAACUUAAAAUAUUGGCUUCUGCAGCUAACUCAGUCAUCUUCACCUUCAUUUUCCUGUUUGUUCAUAAUCUGGAAAAGAAAAACAAGCUUUCCUGCUUUUUCAGGUCCCAAACGAUUUCUCAGUUUGGAAUGAAUUAGUCCAAAGGAAGAAAAUAUUCUUUUUACACCGGCAGGAGAACCUACUGCUUUUAAAAGUGAGGUUAUCACUUCAACAGUCUCUGAAUCCAAGCGCUUAAGUGACUUCCACCAGUUCACUGGUGGCAUCGUUGCAUCUUGAAAUUACAAUUUUCCUUGGUACUCCAUGUGGGCUGCUUGUUUCCUGCACGUCUAAGUGUACCCCAAGAGGCGUGAUCUCCUGGACAUCAGGAAGGACUAUUGAAUCCAAAUGGGCCAUUGUAGAACAAAGACUUUGUCGAUUGUUCCCCCUGCACCCAUGAAGAGGUUACAUGCAGGAGUGCUUGUCCCAUCAGCUUGGA